CAAAUGUUACAAUAGCGAUUAAGACUAUGUUCAAACAGGCCAAUUAGCUGAGGCAAUUAAGCUUUAAAUUGCGGUAUUGAGUUUGGUGUUCUCACACACGUCAGCUGCCCAAUUAGCGAUACGAAAUCAGCUGUUGGGUUACAUACAGUGAUGGAAAAGUUCUUACAAUCGUACCUUU